rnacentral:rRNA from 1 species
UACGUAGGGGGCAAGCGUUGUCCGGAUUUAUUGGGCGUAAAGAGCGUGUAGGCGGCCAGGUAGGUCUGCUGUGAAAACUCGAGGCUUAACCUCGAGCUGUCGGCGGAAACCAUCUGGCUAGAGUCCGGAAGAGGAGAAUGGAAUUCCCGGUGUAGCGGUGAAAUGCGCAGAUAUCGGGAAGAACACCCGUGGCGAAGGCGACUAUCUGGGCUGCAACUGACGCUGAGGCGCGAAGGCUAGGGUAGCAAACAGG